rnacentral:misc_RNA from 1 species
CUUUUGAGACCCUACCAAAACAGACUUGUCGCCGACCAUGGUCCGUUGGUCCGGUCCGGUCCGAUUUUUAGGGACAACAGCUAGCUGUGGUUUAGACAGUAUUAGUGUUGUAUUUCAUAAUGGUGGACUAGAGGAGGGUAACUAUCAGUUUGAUGUGGAGUCCAUUGUUGGUGUUGCUGAGGAUGUUACUAGUAUACUGGACAUUGCCUGCUACUAUCAGGGGGAGGAGUAUAUGGUUGCUGUGGCAACCGAUCAUCACACUCCUCUCCUACAGUUAUUGCUCUGGUAAUGUCAAUGAUGAUCCUUUUGCUAAGAGUCAGUUCAAGGCAAUAUUGGUUAGGUUUGCCAGUCAAACCAAUACCAUUGAUGUGAGCAGCGACUCUUCAAGACUAGCAGCUGGUGCAAGGCUUCGUCAAGUUGUGAUUAUACAGUUAAGAUAUGGUCAACAGAGAGUAAGGUUAUUGUUCAUUGGUCGAUGUUUUUCCUAAAACCAACGAUAUUAUAUUUGCCUCAACACUUUGUUGGUUCUCAUGGCAACCAGGCCAAGGACAGGUUAUUGCUGUGCCUGUUGGUAAUGGUGUGAGACUGUUAAAGAGAGAGAGCUGGAACUGCAUUCAAACAAUCAAUGCAAGAUGGAAGGAAUGAAAAGUUGAUCAUGUGAUGUGUUGGUCUCCAUUUGGGACAAUGUUUGCUGUGGGCAGUUCUGAUGGACGUAUCUCAAUAUAUGGAGGAUGGCCUCAACCUUUACUCAUCUCAAGGCACGGUGUUGGGUCUCAUGUUGUCUCCUCAUUGUGUUGGGAUCCAAAGACUAAAGACUCAUUCCAUCCUCUUCUCUUCUCCUCUUCAUCUGGUCACAUUGGGGCCUUACCCCACCACUGGGUCUAUCCUCAGCGAGAGAAGGAGGGAGGGAAGGAGAGUAUAGCUGGAACUAACAAUACUGCACCAGCUAACACAGGAAAGGCUCCAGCAGCUGAACCUGAUGAUCCUUUGUUUGAUGAUAGUCUUUUAUUAGAAGGUAUACCUCCUGAUAGUAUAUUCAAUGA